rnacentral:rRNA from 1 species
AUUGAACGCUGGCGACAUGCCUUACACAUGCAAGUCGAACGGCAGCACGGGUGCUUGCACCUGGUGGCGAGUGGCGAACGGGUGAGUAAUACAUCGGAACAUGUCCUGUAGUGGGGGAUAGCCCGGCGAAAGCCGGAUUAAUACCGCAUACGAUCUACGGAUGAAAGCGGGGGACCUUCAGGCCUCGCGCUAUAGGGUUGGCCGAUGGCUGAUUAGCUAGUUGGUGGGGUAAAGGCCUACCAAGGCGACGAUCAGUAGCUGGUCUGAGAGGACGACCAGUCACACUGGGACUGAGACACGGCCCAGACUCCUACGGGAGGCAGCAGUGGGGAAUUUUGGACAAUGGGCGAAAGCCUGAUCCAGCAAUGCCGCGUGUGUGAAGAAGGCCUUCGGGUUGUAAAGCACUUUUGUCCGGAAAGAAAUCCUUGGCCCUAAUACGGUCGGGGGAUGACGGUACCGGAAGAAUAAGCACCGGCUAACUACGUG